UUAAUAAUUUAGGAGAAAAUGAACGAAGACGUUGAUGUGCAGAUUGAGUUCAAAAUUCAAACAAAGAGACCCAAAUCGCCAGGCGACUUCUUCUUCUUCCUCGUUUUCACAGCCCCGGAUUUUGUCGCCGGUUCCGAUUCUAGGGUUUCUGUCCCGGCGAAUGCUGCUGCUGUUCCUCCGAUGAAUCGGCCGCACUACAACCAUCUUCAAUCCAACUCCAUUUCUAACUGCCACGAAUGCGGGAUUUCUCAGUCCGUAUGCUGGAUCCUCCACAAUGUCCGUUUCAAAGCUUCCUUCCGUCGUCUCUGCACCAAUUGCGUCCUUAAGAACAAUCUUUCCCGUUUCUGUCCUCUUUGCUUCGAUAUUUACGACGAUUCGACUCCGCCGUCGUCUCAUCAGCGAGUUAUGUGCUUCAGAUGCCCUUCAAUAUCUCAUGUCUCUUGUGCUUCCUUUCGUUUUUCUUCUACGUUCCUCUGCCCUGUCUGCUCCGAUCCUUGCUUUGCCUUCUUCGACGGUUUCGACUCCGACGGCCUUCGCCAAUCGGAGCCCGCCGUUGCCGUUUUGGCCGGUAGAGAUGGUAAAUCGGCGAAGGCGAUUGUCGCUGCGGCUCGUGUCGCCGCUCAAUCCAUGCGAAGAGCGGCGGCUGACGCUAGGGCUGUAGCGGAGAUGAAGAUCAGGAAUGCUGUGUUCGCUAAGAAGCAGGCUACUCUCGCCUUGGAACGGCUUGCUUUUCUUGUACUUCAGGAGAAAGACAGAAAUGGAUAUGCUAAAACUAAUGGAAAUGCUGCUGCUGGUGCGGUGGAAGAAGAAGAAGAAACCGAGCUACAAGGUGAAGUGGUAACAGCCAUUCUUGAGCGUAUGAAGGCGAAUCACACUCAGUUUUGACGAGGGUAGCUGAUUAAGGAAACUGUAGAGUAAUCUUCUUCGACUCGCAUUCAAUCGAGUACCUCCAAGAUUCAGUUGAAUCAGGGCGCAGAGCUCUCUCUUCUAUCGGCCAUUUUUAUCAGAAUCUCAUAGCUUUAGAGGUGUGGAAGCCAUUGUUGCCGCCUUCAAGCUACAAGAAUCGCCACUGCGGAGCCACGGUCAACAUUUGAUAUUCAAAUACCAGUGGCGGCGGAACGGUGGCCAUAUCAAGACGCCGGCGGCGAUAGAUAGUGCUGAUUUCAACUAACAAAGUAUGGAUCUGCGGUGAAUUUUCUGAGAUACCAUCAUUUCGUUUCGUUUGAUUCAGAUUAUAGACCGAGUCUGCUCGAUUCAACUCGCUUCCAGUUAACCGAGUUGACUCAGUGAAUUUCCCCGUCCAUUAAUAAUUUUUCUGAGUUCGAAAAAAAAAACUCUUCUUUUUCCUUGCAACUAAUAAAGAACGUUACUUUUGAGAAUAAUAUCUAUAAUUAAUUAAUGGGGUUUCGGGUUUCCCCCCUUUAUUUCCUUCCCACGAAAAAAAAAAAAA